GACGAACGCUGGCGGCGUGCUUAACACAUGCAAGUCGAACGAUGAAGCUGGAGCUUGCUCCGGUGGAUUAGUGGCGAACGGGUGAGUAACACGUGAGCAAUCUGCCCUUGACUCUGGGAUAACUGCGGGAAACUGUAGCUAAUACCGGAUACUUUCACUGGAAGGCAUCUUCUGGUGAAGAAAGAAUUUCGGUCAAGGAUGAGCUCGCGGCCUAUCAGCUUGUUGGUGAGGUAACGGCUCACCAAGGCGACGACGGGUAGCCGGCCUGAGAGGGUGACCGGCCACACUGGGACUGAGACACGGCCCAGACUCCUACGGGAGGCAGCAGUGGGGAAUAUUGCACAUGGGCGCAAGCCUGAUGCAGCAACGCCGCGUGAGGGAUGAAGGCCUUCGGGUUGUAAACCUCUUUUAGCAGGGAAGAAGCGAAAGUGACGGUACCUGCAGAAAAAGCACCGGCUAACUACGUGCCAGCAGCCGCAGUAA
rnacentral:rRNA from 1 species